CCCAGAUUAUGACUCCGCUUAUCUGAGAGGUCUGGACUAAGCAAAUGCUCAGAGACAGGAAGCUGUUGCAGGUGGUCGUCGGGCCUCAGUAGAGAGAGCUGCUCACAGGAGCCGUUUGCAGAUCCUCUCUGGGGAAGAAAACCACCAAGGGGGGCUCCUGGCCCCUGAUAUCCUCCGCCUUCACGCUCUUGUCCCUGCGCUGAGAGUUGCUGUUGUUCAGUCCCUCAGUCGUGUCCGACUCUUUGCGACCCGGUGGCCUGCAGCCUGCCAGGAUCCUCUGUCCAUGGAAUUUCCCAGAGACAGCCCAGCUGAGAGUGAAGGGGCCCUGCAGCCUCAGAGCAUCACAGGGCUGCAGCCUCCAGUGAAGUCGUGGAUGUGAGCGAAGAUCAUCAGUCGCUGCAAAAGGCAUCAGGUGAAGACACGGACAGCACUUCCUCACACAUGAGUCAGCCUGGCAGGGCCCGAAGCCACUGAACAAUCCCAGUGUCGCAGAGUCGUCUGUUCCGUGCUUCCCAGCGGAAGUACAGGAGACCACUGACUGACACGGUGUCCGUGCCGGAUAAAGGAGCCUAAAGGACUGAGCCUCUGGAUGUAUCAUUUCCAGAAGAUAUAAGAGACAGAGGAGGAGGCUUUUAAACAGCCCCAGCCGGUGGUGUACAAUUACCAAAAUUCAGACUGUGGAAAAACUUACAGGGAAAAAAUGACAAAUACAUUUCGGGGGAAAGAAAGUGAGAUCGACAGAAACAGAGGAGGAAGCCAUGCUCUAGAAGAGGCGAAUAAAUUAAAUGAAUGAACACAAAUUCAAAAGACCAAACAUUUCAAACCAAACAGCGAAGCCGUUUGAAGGCAGCCUCCUGGUGGCCAGCGCCUUGUGCCCUGGGGUCACUUCUCAAAUUAAGGUGAAAGUUGAAGUCUAAGUGGAGAGGGAAGGAAGGAGAAAGGCCCUUCGCCAGCAUCCCCGGUAGGUGACCAUCCGCUCCCUCUCUGUGGGAGCGCGUCCAGUAGCUGGAAAUCUCUGACGCAUCCCACGCUGGGCACGUGGGUAUGAAGUUUCCCCGUGGUGUCUCCCAGGACAGUGUUCUCACCCUCCAGAGGACCUGACUCCUACCUGGGGUCCGGGGGAGCUGAGGGGACAGCCCUCCGGUCAGACCAUAUCAGCAGCUGGGGGCAGGCAAGGCGAGUAGUUGGGGCUUUUCCCAAGAUGCUGUGGUGCCUUGUUGAGCAAAAAUGUGAUUUCAGUGGUUAGAGAGUGAGAGCAUAUGCUAAUAUAUUUAAAAAUGGUUCUGAAACCACUCUCUUAAGGAUGAACUUAAGCUUGCUGGGGGGAAGGGAUAGUUAGGGAGUUUGGGAUGAGCAUGUACACACUGCCAUAUUUAAAGUGGAUAACCAAUAAGGACCUAGUGUACAGCACAGGGAACUCAGUGUUAUGUGGCAGCCUGGAUGGGAGGGGAGUCUGGGGGAGAAUGGGUACUUGUAUACGUACAGCUGAAUGCCUUCACUGUUCAGCUGAAGCUAUUGCAACAUUGUUAAUCAGCUAUGAC
ensembl:lncRNA